AGAGUUUGAUCCUGGCUCAGAACUAACGCUGGUGGCGUGUCUUAGUCAUGCAAGUCGUACGCGAAAGCACCCUUCGGGGUGCAAGUAGAGUGGCGGACGGGUGAGUAACACGUGGGCAAUCUGCCUCUAGGUGGGGGACAACCCUUCUAACGAGGGGCUAAUACCGCAUGAUGCCUCGGUUUCGAAUGGAGCCGAGGUUAAAGGUGGCCUCUACCUGUAAGCUGUCGCCUAGAGAGGAGCCCGCGCUCCAUUAGCUUGUUGGUGAGGUAACGGCUCACCAAGGCAACGAUGGAUAGCCGGCCUGAGAGGGUGAUCGGCCACACUGGAACUGAGAUAAGGUCCAGUCCCCUACGGGGGCCAGCAGUCUAGAAAUUUGCACAAUCGACGAAAGUUGGAUGCAGCGACGCCACGUGGAGGAUGAAGCCUUUCGGGGUGUAAACUCCUGUCAGGAGGGAAGAACGCACAGGUGUGAAUAUCAUCUGUUGCUUGACGGUACCUCCAAAGGAAGCUCCGGCUAACUCUGUGCCAGCAGCCGCGGUAAGACAGAGGGAGCAAGCGUUGUUCGGAUUUACUGGGCGUAAAGGGCGCGCAGGUGGGACGAUAAGUCGAACGUGAAAACUAUUGGCUCAACCAAUAGAUUGCGUUCGAAACUGUCGGCCUUGAGUACAGGAGAGGAGAGUGGAAUCAACAGUGUAGCGGUGAAAUGCGUAGAUAUUGUUGAGAACACCGGUGGCGAAGGCGGCUCUCUGGCCUGAUACUGACACUGAGGCGCGAAAGCUAGGGGAGCAAACAGGAUUAGAUACCCUGGUAGUCCUAGCCGUAAACGAUGGGCACUAGGUGUUGACCCCUUCAGUGCCGUAGCUAACGCAUUAAGUGCCCCGCCUGGGGAGUACGGUCGCAAGGCUAAAACUCAAAGGAAUUGACGGGGACCCGCACAAGCGGUGGAGCAUGUGGCUCAAUUCGAGGCAACGCGAAGAACCUUACCCGGGUUUGACAUGUACUUGACAGCCCUAGAGAUAGGGUCUCUCUUCGGAGCAAGUACACAGGUGCUGCAUGGCUGUCGUCAGCUCGUGUCGUGAGAUGUUGGGUUCAGUCCCGCAACGAGCGCAACCCCUGUCCUUAGUUGCCAGCACGUCAUGGUGGGAACUCUAAGGAGACUGCCUGUGUUAAGCAGGAGGAAGGUGGGGAUGACGUCAAGUCCUCAUGGCCCUUACGCCCGGGGCUGCACACGUGCUACAAUGGCCGGUACAAA
rnacentral:rRNA from 1 species